GACGGAGGAUGCAAGCGUUAUCCGGAAUUAUUGGGCGUAAAGCGUCCGCAGGUGGCUGUUCAAGUCUGCUGUCAAAGCGCAGAGCUUAACUCUGUACAGGCGGUGGAAACUGAAGAGCUAGAGUAUGGUAGGGGUAGAGGGAAUUCCCGGUGUAGCGGUGAAAUGCGUAGAUAUCGGGAAGAACACCAGUGGCGAAGGCGGUUGCCUGGGGCUUUGCUGACGCUGAUGCGCGAAAGCGUGGGGAGCGAUCCGG
rnacentral:rRNA from 1 species